CUGUGGAGGAUUUAGCCACCCUUAAACUUGAAGGGAAUCAUGCCUUCCUAGUUCCUUCUUUCUAGUCCGUUCCCCCCAAUUUCUAUACUUCUUCCUCUUCCUCCUCUCACCUCCUCCUCUCACCUCACUGAAGUAUUGAAGUGCUCGCGUUUCAAUUCUCAUUCCAUGGCGAACAAGCUCUGCAAUCAGGAUAUUUUGGAGCAGCUGAGAAACGGUACAGCAAAAUUUGAGCUUGUAUCUUCGCCACUUCCUUCACUUGCUGCUGCUGCUGCUCCUAAAUUCAGUAACAUCACAAGCUUAUUUGGAAUCGGAAAUUGUAGCACUAGCACUCUUUUUUUCGCUAGAAUUUCCUCAUCACUUGGUGGACAGUCUCCAGCUAUGAAGAAGCUAGAGCAGUUUUCGGUUCAGAAGGUCACAGGGGAUGGAAGGUGUAUGUUUCGUGCACUGGUCAAAGGAAUGGCUUACAAUAAAGGAGUCUCUCUUAACCAACGCAAGGAGACAGAAGAUGCAGAUGAACUAAGAAGGGCUGUGAAAGAAGUUCUAUGUGAUAAUAAUGGAGAGCGUAAAUUAUAUAAAGAAGCUCUCAUUGCCAUCACAGUUGCUGAGUCUCUACCACGUUACUGCCAACGAAUUGCGCGAUCUGAUUUUUGGGGAGGAGAGUCAGAGCUGCUGGUACUGGCAAAGUUAUGUAAGCAGCCAAUUAUUGUUUACAUACCAGAGCAUGAGUAUACAGGGAGUGGUUGGGGAUCUGGUUUCAUUGCCAUUGCGGAGUAUGGAAGUGAGUUCAAAAACGGUACUACAAACAGGACUCCCAAGAAACCUGUGAGGCUAUUGUUCAGUGGCAAGAACCAUUAUGAUCUUUUGCUAUGAGGAACUGCAUGAUGAUGGAUGAAGAGACAAGGAAAGGAAAGAAAGAAAAUGAGAGGUAGGGUCAGCUACAUGGAUGAAACGAUGUCAUUGUACCCUUGUACCCUACCCUAUUAUGUAUCAUGUAUGCAGUGAAAAUGUUGACACGCAGAUUUUCUUCGACUAUUUCAUGUAUGAUCUUUUUAGGUCUUUCUUUAGUAUACGUCAUAUGUCCACUCUUUAUCUCAUCCACUCUCCUAA